rnacentral:misc_RNA from 1 species
AAAAAAUGGAGGCUUCUCUUUGUUAAGCUAAUUCACAGUUUUGUGGAACGUCUUCGUCACUUUGGGCUCUACCCAAAUUGCUGUUGUUGCAUCAUUACGGCCUGAGGUGCAGGAUGAGUAAGAAGAAAAACCCUCUUGUAUUCUUAGAUGUAUCAGUUGAUGGAGAUGCUGCAGAAAAAAUUGUUAUUGAGCUCUUUGCAGAUACUGUUCCAAGAACUGCAGAAAAUUUCCGGUCGCUCUGCACAGGUGAGAAGGGAGUUGGAGUAUCUACUGGAAAACCUCUGCACUACAAAGGAUGCUUAUUUCACCGUGUAAUAAAAGGGUUUAUGGCACAAGGUGGUGAUUUCUCCAAAGGGAAUGGCACUGGUGGAGAGAGUAUAUAUGGAGGGAAAUUUCCAGAUGAGAACUUCAAAGUUGCCCACGCGGAGGCUGGUCUUCUCUCAAUGGCAAAUAGUGGUCCUAAUACAAAUGGAUCCCAGUUCUUCAUUAUAUUUAAGAGAACUCCCCAUCUCGACGGGAAGCAUGUUGUUUUUGGAAAAGUUGUAAAGGGAAUGGAUUUAGUGAAGAAAAUUGAACAGCUGGGAACAGACAGUGGGAAGCCAUCUGGGCUUGUGAAAAUUGUGGAUUGCGGCGAACUGUCUGAGAAGAAAAGUAAUGAUACACCCAAAGCAGAGAAAGGGAAAAAUAAGAAGUCCGUGAGAGCUCUUUCCUCUGAUGAUGAUUCAGACAGUCAAGAAAAGGGGAAAAGCAAAUCAUCCACCAAUAGAAGGAAAAAGAAAAAGAGGAGAUACUCUUCAUCUGAUUCUUACAGUUCUGAGACAGAUACUGAUUCCUCUUCAGACUCUGAUUCAGAUUCUAAGCUGGACUCCUAUUCUUCUAGUUCUUCAGGUGAUGAAAGGCGUAAGAAGAGGAAGAGGUCAACUAAGAAAG